ACCUCUAGUCCUACCACACUGAAUGCACCAGAUCUCAUCUGAUACUGGAAGCUAAGCACAGUUGGGCCUGGUUAGUACUUGGAUGGGAGACAGCCUGGGAAUACUGGGUAGAGCAGUGGUU
rnacentral:rRNA from 1 species